GCCACUGGCAUCUGGCACUGUGGUUCCUACCUGGAAAUAAUGGCUGACAGGGCCUGAAUCUACACUUCUGCAGCCACAGUCAAGUCUGCC
rnacentral:miRNA from 14 species